UUUGAAAACAUUGAUGUCAUUUUGAACACAACCAAAGCUAGUUUUGAUUAAAAUUAAUAUUGCAUUUUUUUCUGAAAUGUGUGUGUGAGAGAAAUAAUGGGGUUCAUCUCUUAAGAAGUAGCUCAGAUUGCCCAAUACAGUCUACAACUGAGCUGUGUUUGAUUUGUCUUCAUAAGGCUGCAGUAUGUUUUACUAUUAAUUACUGUUUAAUUGGUAUUAAAGUCACCAUGACAUUUAAAUUUGCUCUUAUUUUUUAAACUAUUACCAUUAUUUAUUAAAUCAUGCACCGCACAACAUUUGUUACUCAUUUCAGGACCGCUUCAGAUGUGAUGUGUGUUGCAGACUUACACAUUUCCUAUGAAGACGUUGGGCCAGACCUCAGUGACCGGUGUCCACUUCAGAGCGCAUUUUUCCAGGCGGUCCUGCAGGCGGGUAAUGCGUUCAGGAUCUCUGGGAUUAGGGACAUCAAGUAAUUCUGGAUUCGGCUGUGAUGAGUCCCUGGUUUCUCUGUUUCUCCGAAACUUUGCCUUCACAGCCUUCCAUGCCCUUCUGAAGAAAGACAACACACGGUUGCUCUUCUUCACUUUGGUCUUUCCUACUAACAGACAAAAACAAAGAAACAAGUUAUUAAGACAUGUCUGAAAUGAGUAUAUGAACAUAAUAAUAAGCACCUGUUAAUAACAGUGUUUCACCAAAAAAGCCUCAAAAGUGACUGAAUGUAGUUUGAUAAAAACAAUAUCUGCAGUUUUGUUUGUUUGAAUGUUUAUAUUGAAACUGUCUGUGAUUUUGAAGGAAGGGUACAGUGUUAGUUUGGACCUAGCAUGAUUAAACCUAACAAGGGCAAGACCAUUACAGACAUACUUAUAAACACUUUACUUAAUACUAUACUUAAUAUACUUAAUACUAUACUUAAUAUACUUUAAAAUAAAACUAGUACUAUUGCUGUGCCUCUUUUGGGCCUUCAUUUAUAUUCCUAUACAAACAUCUACAUUUCUAUAACAAGUUCAAGUUUGGGUUUCACAGAUAUAAAAACUACACAUGAUUAAUUAAAGAUAUUUCAAAAUAUAGUGAAUAAUUGACGUUUACAUGUAUUUUAUCAUCCAUUAAGACGACCUACAGUCUAUAUAUGUGUUCAAAUGUGUUAACUAAACAUAUAAGACGCCCUGUAGUGAAGUUUAUACAGCUCAGAGAGUCUGUGUUUGUAUUUAUGUGUGACAGUAAUGUGUUUAAGAUGCUCUUUUCGACAUUUACCGUUAGGGCUGAUGCUCCGGGCGGCAGCAGGAGAGGGGCCGAAGCCGCCCUCAGCCUGAGCCUGCCCGGCUACGCCAUCUGCUGGAUCUUGUAGAUGUUCGACGUCCAGCGAGGCCGGCAUCACGGCGUUUCUUCUAAUUAGGGCCUUGUGUAGGAAUUCUGCUGCUGGUGAAAAGAACUGUGCCAUGUUUGGCCAGCCCUGGACUCCGAGUCCUGAACGCACAUUGUAUUUGGCUUUGUUCCUCGCUGUUUUCCUGCACAAGAACACAACAACAUCAUCAAUUUCCCUUCACUUUCACUGACUGAAAAGCUGAAUUUACGAUGAAGAACACACAGCGCUCACUCUGGAGUUCUGUAAAUCUACAAAUGCUGAAUUUAACAAAGUUUACAGGAGCUUGUUAUUGUUUUAAUAACGCAGAUUUUUCUUGCAGAUUUUGGCCAUGUUGUAAAACAAAUCCACAAACUGACAGUUUUCAGCAUUUUGUGCUUUUUUUUACUCCAUCUGUCCUCAAAUCUGUAGUCAAAUAGUUUGAAGUAGUGUGGUCACGAUACUGGGAUUUCAGACUUUGAUACGAUACCUUGACAAGCAUCGAUACCCUACUAUAUGAUUUUCGAUACUACAAGUUAAAAAUAUUGAUAUUUGAUACAAGUUUCGAUACCAAGGAACGAGGAAGUAGUAUGUCCCAAAGCUUGCAUACUUUUAGGGUGUAGUAUAAGUAUACGAAUUAGGACGCAACAACUGACUGAGCACUGAGCGAACAAAAAGCAGCCUCAGACAGUAUUUUACCAGCCUGAAUUUGAGGACUGAAUUUGAUUGCUGAUUGACAAGCGGAAUAAAAUGGCAGGAAGAAAUACCCUAACCACAACAACAUGAUAAAACAUGACUUAAAAACAUUUACCCUGACUUUUAAUGUCUGCAAUAGAUCUUUUAAAAACUCCAUGACUGUGGGAAUUAAGCCCGGGUGAAACCCUGCAUCAUUAUUUGACUGAAUGCUUUGCUGUUAUAUGUGUGUGUUGUAGACUUACUCGUCAGCUAUGAAGACAUUGGGCCAGACUUCACUGACAGGAGUCCAGUACUGGGAGGGUUUGACGGUACGAAGGUACAUUUGGGAAAUGAUCUGAGGGUGGUUUAUGUCGAUAGAUGAAAACUCCGGCAUCAAACCCGGCUGUUGCUGCUGAUUGUGGUGACAAGCGAAGACGACUAGCUGCGUCAGGAGGUCCCUGCUCAUUCUGAUGUGUUUACGGUUUAUCAUAUGGUCAAUGGCCUUCGUCAAUGUUUUUCCGUGGUAUAUCAUCAGAUAUGGCACCACGAAAAAGCAGGCGUGCCUCGAACCCUGUUGAUCUUGCACCAGCAGCUGAUCUGAGAAAAGAAAGACACAAAACAAUUGAACACACUAGAACAUGAUAUUAAUACACUGUGUGUGUGUGUGUGUGUGUGUGUGUGUGUGUGUGUUCUUACUCUCUGGGUUGCUCAGAAUCUUGUGCAUGAGUUCUGCCACUCGGUAGAUAUGGCAGCUAAAGUCAAACGGGUCAUCGUCUCUUGAAAACACGUUGUGGUAGGAGAUGUUCAUUGUUUCGUACAGCUUGGCCUGUUUCCUCCUCAAUGCAUCUUGAUUUGCCAAAAUGGGUAAAGUGUUCAGGACGUGUGUAAUUCCUCUCCUCUUCAGUGCAACUAUAUCCAUUGCCCUUUUCCUGCACAAGAUCACAAACAACUUUCAUCAGCUUUCUAAAAGGACGUACAAUGCAGAAACAUAUACAGACUCAAGGGAAACCUCUUAAGUAUCUUCAGUAACCUCUUACAAUAUAUUCAGCUGAAUUAACUCAUUCAUUUGUCACUAAUCCAGCUCCACAAUAUAUUUUAUUUCCGGCAACAAAGGCUGGAAUGUCAAAUAGACAAUGUGGAACAGGGAGAGCUUCUGAAGUAAUCACUCUCUUGAAGUAACCUACCCAACACUGUCUCCAUUACCCUAUUAAAGCAUCACAUGGCUUUGUACUAUACAUCAUGAAUGUGUUGCAGACUUACCAGCUUCCAACGUAGAGGUUGUCGAAGACUUUACAGAUGGAGACCCAUUUCUUCCUGCUCUCCAAUUGUUGCUUGUCCAGGUUGGAAAUAUUUUGGGUGAAAUGCAAAUGCAAGAGUGAAAUCUUCUCUUCCAUUUGAGGUUGUGGUUGAGGACCACUCAAGUCAGAGACACACAGCUCCCCUGAAUCACCGGCCUUAGGUUCGGGUAUAUAACCGCUCGGACCUGGGACCGGUUCUAGAUUGGGCUUUAAAGCACACUUAUCCAGUUUGGAGCAGGCUUCAGGGUCGUGUAUGUGUGAAAUCUCCGUGACUGGUUCAAGACCGUACGGCUCACAAACAUACAUUUCCUCUGAAUCAACUGCCUUAGGUUCGGGUCUAUAACCGCUCGGACCUGGGACCGGUUCUGGAUUGGGCUUUAAAGCACACUUAUCCAGUUUGAAGUAGACUUCAGGGUCGUGUAUGUGUGAAAUCAUCGUGACUGGUUCAAGACCGUACGGCUCACAAACAUACAUUUCCUCUGAAUCAACUGCCUUAGGUUCGGGUAUAUAACCGCUCGGACCAGGGACCGCUUCUGGAUCUGGCUUUAAAGCACACUCGUCUAGUUUGGAGCAGGCUUCAGGGUCGUGUAUGUGUGAAAUCUUCGUGACUGGUUUAAGACCGUACGGCUCACAAACAUACAUUUCCUCUGAAUCAACUGCCUUAGGUUCGGGUCUAUAACCGCUCGGACCUGGAACCGGUUCUGGAUCGGGCUUUAAAGCACACUUAUCCAGUUUGAAGUAGACUUCAGGGUCGUGUAUGUGUGAAAUCUUCGUGACUGGUUCAAGACCGUACGGCUCACAAACAUACAUUUCCUCUGAAUCAACGGCCUUAGGUUCGGGUCUAUAACCGCUCGGACCUGGGACCGGUUCUGGAUCAGGCUUUAAAGCACACUUGUCUAGUUUGGAGCAGGCUUCAGGGUUGUGUAUGUGUGAAAUCUUCGUGACUGGUUCAAGACCGUACGGCUCACAAACAUACAUUUCCUCUGAAUCAACUGACUCCACUUCAGGGUCUGGUUUAUCGGCAGCAGAGUUGCUUCUGUUCUUCGCUGCGUCACUUUCAAUUAAGUGUCGCUGCUCAGCGAGGAUUGUUAAUUUCCUCAAGAAGUCUCUGCUUGGCCUGAUAAAUCUCUUGUGUGUCACCAGAUCAAUGGAGUCCUCUGGUGUUUUGUUGUGGUGUAUCAUCAAAUAUGCCAGGAAAAGUGUGGCGGAGCGGCUGACGCCCUGCAGGCAGCACACCAACACCUUAUCUGCAGGAACAAAGAGAGAAAGAUCAACACAAACGUAUCGCUAGCACAUUUAGCACUGUAGGACAGAUGGAGAGAUGGAUAGAUAAAUACUGUCCCCACAAAGAUAGUAAACCCAGACAUUUCUGACGAGGGAAGAAUAUUAAUAAUAAAAAUGACUCUAAAUGAUUGAACUGGAGCUGUAAAAAUGCAGAAAUGUUUGGGUAAGUGCACUUUCUAUAAAACACACUGAAAUACUCAUCUGGAGUGUGUGUGUGUGUGUGUGUGUGUGUGUGUGUAACAGCAGUUUCAGCUAUUAUUUUAUAUUACUGUAGUACCACAGAAUCGCCACAACAGAUUAAUUCUGUGAAGAACUUUACAAUAGUUAGAGUUUAAAAACAGCACAGUAUUUACUGCUAUACACUAUAGUACUCCUGAAUUACUGUAGUAUUUGUUUCAUGCGCAGUAUAAAAACCUUUACACCUAUGAAAUGUCCUCACAAUUCCCAAAA